GAAUGGGGCAAGCGUUGUUCGGAAUCACUGGGCUUAAAGCGUGCGCAGGCGGCUAUGAAAGUCAGGAGUGAAAUCCCCGGGCUCAACCCGGGAAUUGCUUUUGGAACUCCAUAGCUAGAAUCCUGGAGAGGUUAGCAGAAUUCCGAGUGUAGAGGUGAAAUUCGCAGAUAUUCGGAGGAAUACCAAUGGCGUAGGCAGCUAACUGGACAGGCAUUGACGCUCAGGCACGAAAGCGUGGGGAGCAAACAGGAUUAGAUACCCUGGUAGUCCACGCCGUAAACGAUGUGUGCUCGUUGUCGGAGUCAUAGACUCCGGUAACAAAGCGAAAGUGUUUAGCACACCGCCUGGGGAGUACGGUCGCAAGAUUA
rnacentral:rRNA from 1 species